AAUUAGUGUAACUUCGGGAGUUGUUUGAACAAACAUGUACACCCACGGUGUAAUUAAAACUCACAACCUAGUGUUUUAAGUGGGUGUGAAUGUACGAACUCUGGGGUGGAGUCAUUUACACUUCCGGUCCUUCAGUUGAGAUUUUUGAAAAGAAGAUGGACGCCAUUGAAGUACAUCGUGGGAUAGUAAAAGGGUCAGCAAAAUGCUCAUCAAUGUCCAGUACCAUGGAGAAAAAAGUACCUCAAACUGCAGCCUGGUUUUUCUUUUCAAAGUUUAAUUCGAGAAGGCACAUCAAUCCACUGGUGCAAAAGAAGAGAACACCUCUGCCAUAGGAGAUUCAGCAGAAAAAGGCCAAACAGGUGAGCAUUUAAAAUUAAAAUAUCACUAGGAGAAAUCCUUGUCUGUCUCGUCUCCAAAAUGCAGAAGCC